rnacentral:rRNA from 1 species
AGUGAACGCUGGCGGUAGGCCUAACACAUGCAAGUCGAACGGCAGCACAGUAAGAGCUUGCUCUUACGGGUGGCGAGUGGCGGACGGGUGAGGAAUACAUCGGAAUCUACUUUUUCGUGGGGGAUAAUGUAGGGAAACUUACGCUAAUACCGCAUACGACCUACGGGUGAAAGCAGGGGAUCUUCGGACCUUGCGCGAUUGAAUGAGCCGAUGUCGGAUUAGCUAGUUGGCGGGGUAAAGGCCCACCAAGGCGACGAUCCGUAGCUGGUCUGAGAGGAUGAUCAGCCACACUGGAACUGAGACACGGUCCACACUCCUACGGGAGGCGGCAGUGGGGAAUAUUGGACAAUGGGCGCAAGCCUGAUCCAGCCAUACCGCGUGGGUGAAGAAGGCCUUCGGGUUGUAAAGCCCUUUUGUUGGGAAAGAAAAGCAGCAGGUUAAUACCCCGCUGUUCUGACGGUACCCAAAGAAUAAGCACCGGCUAACUUCGUG